UACAGGGGGGGCAAGCGUUGUUCGGAAUUACUGGGCGUAAAGGGUCUGUAGGUGGCCAACUAAGUCAGACGUGAAAUCCCUCAGCUUAACUGGGGAACUGCGUCUGAUACUGGAUGGCUCGAGUGUGGGAGAGGAAUGCGGAAUUCCAGGUGUAGCGGUGAAAUGCGUAGAUAUCUGGAGGAACACCGGUGGCGAAGGCGGCAUCCUGGACCGGCAUUGACGCUGAGGCGCGAAAGCCAGGGGAGCAAACGGG
rnacentral:rRNA from 1 species